GUGCUGAGCCCUGGGCAAGUGUCUCCAGACAUCCCUACCUUUUCUCCCUUUUAUUAGUUUUCUUUCCCAACAGAACCCAUUUACUUUGCCACUAAAACUAGGUUGCAUCCAAAAGUUUCUAAACAAGCUUAAAAAAGAAAAAUUGACACCAUUAUACAGAAGAAUUCACAAAAGCUGCAGAGCGCCAGGGCAGAGAAGCAGCGACAGACACAGGGACAGGAAAUAAAUUGUGCGCGUGGAGUUAGGCGGGAGCUUGCAAAGGACUAACACGAAAUGCAAACAAGACGGAUCCUUUGAAAGCCACAUACCAUCGCACUGCACUAAAUAAAAGUCUGUACUGAACCCUGGGCCGCUGACUGAGUGUAGAAAUUCCACGUGGCCGGCGCUGCUGCUGCCCGGGCCUCGCUGGUUUCGUUGUAGACGGAGACCGAGAGCCCCCUCGCUCCACGGCCUUUGCUUUCAAGUGCUCGGACUUGGGUGUGCUUAGAAGGUGUGAAACAUUGGCAGAGAUGGGCAGUAGUAGGAAAUGGUAGAGAAGGAACAGAGAGGAGCAGUGUGAAGUGUUUUGGCUGCAAUGUUGACCAACAGUCCUGGCUUGGCCCAGGACACACAGGACGGAUGUUUCCAAGUCACUCGAGGGACACAUGCCUGUGUCUCAGAAGUUGCUUCCCUGCCUCUACUCUGUGAAUUUCCCAAACUCUCUAACUCUGAUUCAUCUUCAUUCACUCUUCCCUGUAGUUUGUGUGUAAAGAGCCCUUAAAGCAAUAUGGUGGAGGGUAAGAGUUGUGAGCCGGUGGCAGGCAAGGCCUAAACUUGGUACAGCAAAGGAAAUUUCGUGGUACUUGCUCCUGAGUCUGGGAAUCACAGGCUAGCCAGCCUCUCCCCUAUUACUAGGAAACAGUAGAACUUAGGGAAAUGGAUGAUUCCAUGUUUAAGAGGCCUGAAAUUGUAUACUUGGCAUUUCUGAUUUCAGUUCUAAAAUUCUGUCCCUUCGUCAUAGAGAAAAUGAGAAAUGUAGUUACAACUUUUCAUUACAAAAACGUUGCAUUAAGAGAAAUGGAGAAUCAUGCCCACAUAAAACAUGUAUAGAAGUGUUCAUGAUUUGAUCAGGGCUGGGGAUAUAGCUCAGACAUCCGGCGCUUGCACAGCAAUGUGCAUAACCCAAGGUUCAAGCCCCAGCACUGACAAAGAGAAGCAGAAGGAGCGGAGGUAUUCACAGCAGCCUUUUCAAUAUAGGCAUGAAAGGGAGAGUUUACAUGCCGGUUGAGGAAUGGAGAGUGUAAAAUGGCUUGUCUAUAAAACUGGAUUCUGGUCAUCAGUAGAGAGGUCUGAAGUGAUAGAUAUGGUGGAUGAGUCUUUAAACAUCUUCCUGAGUAAUGAAGCCAACCAGAAGAAAGGCAGAUACUCCGUAUCUCUGGAGUAUAUAGGUAAACCAUUAUAGAGAAAAAGCACCAUACUGGUUACCUGGACUUGGAGUGAUGAACAGACUUUGGGAGACAGCAGAGUGGAACAGAAUUUACUUGAGUGGUGAUAAAAAAAAAAGUUCUUGAAUUAACGGAAGUGAUGCUUGCUCCACUUGAUUGCUGCAUUUAAAAACCACUGAAUUUUACCUUUGGAUGGGUGAAUUCAUUGUAUUUCAAUAAAGCCAUGAAUAUA
rnacentral:lncRNA from 1 species